AGCGACACAAUAGGAGGAAUGUCAUGGUCCUCCUGCGCUCCUCCUCCACAUCCUAAUUGGACCCAGCUGUCGGCACUCAUCACCUCCACUCCAGCCUAUUUAAGAGGAGCCCUCCCCAGCAUUCUUCGCCAGUUCGUUGCCUUACCCGGUCCUUACCUCCCAUGUGCCGACCUGGGUCCUGCCUCGCCUAAAGCAUCUCGUCUUGGACCACGCCGAUCCUCACCACGCCACGCACCGGCUGCCGGACUCACCUCGUUACUCCACCUGGCCGCUCCAGUCCGCAGCAGGUCUUCGUUCUCAAACUUCCACCUUCGAUCCUGGUUCCGGACCCUACGCCAUUAUCCCCACGGACAAUAAAACUUUAUUUAAACCA